UUAAGCUGCCAGAUUUCUCAAGAGACUUAUCCGGCCGGCUACAGACCCUUUAGACCCAAUAAUAACGGUUACCACUCGAGCCGCCGGUGUUACCGCGGCGGCUGGCACCGGUCUUGCCCGGCCCUUGCUAUGAAAUGCUUUUUAGGCAUCUCGACAGCCAGAUUUGUAACCUGGCACUCGAGGUUCCCUUAUCGCUGUUGCCAGCAUUGUAAAGUUUUCGCGCCUGCUGCACCCCGUAGGGCCUGGAUUCGUGUCUCAGAAUCCAUCUCCGGGCUCUUGCUCUCACAACCCGUACCCGUCGUAGGCUAGUAGGUACGCUACACCCACUACUACCUGAUAGGCCGCAGACCCAUCCUUAGGCGCCGGAGCUUUAAAUCUCGAUGCAUUCCAGCAAUCGAGACCUAUCGGGUAUUAUACCCAGUUUCCCGGGUUUAUCCCCGUCCUAAGGGCAGGUUGUCCACGUGUUACUGAGCAGUUCGCCAUGUAUUGCUACAUUCGACUCGCAUGGCUUAGUCGAACCUCGAUAGCAGUAACCUCCGGCAGGAUCAACCGG
rnacentral:rRNA from 1 species